CCUACGGGAGGCUGCAGUGGGGAAUAUUGGACAAUGGGGGGAACCCUGAUCCAGCCAUGCCGCGUGUGUGAAGAAGGCCCUCGGGUUGUAAAGCACUUUCAGUGAGGAAGAACGCCUGGUGGUUAAUACCCAUCAGGAAAGACAUCACUCACAGAAGAAGCACCGGCUAACUCCGUGCCAGCAGCCGCGGUAAUACGGAGGGUGCGAGCGUUAAUCGGAAUUACUGGGCGUAAAGCGCGCGUAGGUGGCUUGAUAAGCCGGUUGUGAAAGCCCCGGGCUCAACCUGGGAACGGCAUCCGGAACUGUCAAGCUAGAGUGCAGGAGAGGAAGGUAGAAUUCCCGGUGUAGCGGUGAAAUGCGUAGAGAUCGGGAGGAAUACCAGUGGCGAAGGCGGCUUUCUGGACUGACACUGACACUGAGGUGCGAAAGCGUGGGUAGCAAACAGGAUUAGAUACCCGAGUAGUC
rnacentral:rRNA from 1 species